GAGCUCGCUUCGCAGCACAUAUACUAAAAUCGGAAGGAUACAGAGGAGAUUAGCAUGGCCCCGCGCAUGGAUGACCCGAAAACACACACCAAAACACCAGAAAGCA